rnacentral:rRNA from 1 species
CCGUACUUGACAUGAAUCACCAGUGCUCUGUGAUACACUGUCAAAGAGUCGAGUUGUUUGGGAAUGCAGCUCAAAAUGGGUGGUAAAUUCCAUCUAAAGCUAAAUAUUGGCGAGAGACCGAUAGCGAACAAGUACCGUGAGGGAAAGAUGAAAAGCACUUUGGAAAGAGAGUUAAACAGUAUGUGAAAUUGUUAAAAGGGAAACGAUUGAAGUCAAUCAUGUCCUUGGGUCUUACCACCCUUGGAUGGGGUCAAGAUCAGUUUUGAUCGGUGGAUAAGGAUAGGA